rnacentral:tRNA from 3 species
GGCGGAUGUGGCCAAGUGGAUUAAGGCAGU